CUCAAAGGGUUAAAGCCAUCUUAGACUCAACGUCCCCACCCAGUUUCUCUCAUAGUGCCCAGCCCAGAACAUUGAUCACAAUGGUUUUAGGAUUUCUAUCAUCCUCUGCUGCAUGACACAGACGAGGAAAAAGCAAAGAGCAGAUCACUGGUAAGACGCUGAUUUACAUCUUACACAUGUUGCCAUUUUCAAUCGAAGCAGGAGACCUGUUGGUCAGACAUUUGGUCUGACUAAGUGGUAUGAGGUUAAAGGCUAAAGGUUGUAGCAUAACAUCAUGGUUACAAACAGGUGCAGAUCUUAACACGAAUCCUUGAAGUGAAAUGCAAGUCAAACAUUUGCUCUUAUUUUAUAGUUUGAUAGUAUUCACCUGCUUAUAGAUCUACUUCCUAUGCACUGCUGCACAUUAGAACCACCUACAAUAUAAAACAUUUAUUAGUACUGAAUUCCUCACAAUAUUCACUUACACCUGUUUAACAUAAAUCUUCUGCUUUUGUUGUCAUUAAAUUACUUGCAGUCUUUUUUAUGGAAUGCUCAUCAGUUGUCAUGUGAAAAUGUAACAUGAGACCUGCUGAGAUAAGCAUGCAUUAAUUUUUCCCUGAUUGACCAAAUUGAAUUUUGUUCUUGUCAUCUGUCACAGUUUGAUCAGGAAAAUGCUCGCCUCUGUGCCUCUUCUCCUUCUCCUCCUCGGUAAGCUCACUGUAAAAAGUUGGGACAAUGUAUAAAAUGAUGAUGAAACCGGUUAUUUUAAGGUUUGUAAAUCACUUAAACUGGAUUUUAAACAGGAAAUCAAAUGUUGAAACUAAAAAAUUGUUGUCAUUUUUAUAAAAAACUAAAAGCUCAUUUCAUAUUUGAUGCCAGCAACUCAUUUCAAAACAGCUGAGUCGUGGCACAUUAACCACUGAGUUGCAUCAUCUCUUCUCCUGAGAACUCUCUGUGGUAUUAUGUUUUAUAAAGGGAAAUGUCCCAGUCUCACCUAAGGAAGGAUUUUAGCUGCUAAAACGUUAAGGGUCUCCUUAACUGCAUUUUCAUUUCAUGACACGUCAAAUGUUUUCAAUGGUGACAAAUCCAGACUGUAGACAGGCUGGUUUAGCACAUGUAGUUUUCUACAAUAUGUAUUCAUGUUGUUGCAAUAUGUACAGGUUAUGGUUUGACAUUUUCUUGCUGCAAUAUGGAAGGUUUUCCCUAAGAGAAGCGUUGUCUGGAUAUCAGUGAAUAUUAUACCAAAACCUGCCACAACAUUAGUGGAGCCUUACCAGAUGUGUAAAUCACCCAACCCAUGCCAUGGGCACUGAUUGUGUCAACUGUGUGUUCUCCUCUCAAAGUGCAGGAUGCAGAGUUGGUGAUUUCUGUAAAAGAAGAUCAAACUUUGAUCAGACUGCCACAGUUUCUACUUGCAUGAGUCCAUUUUAAGUGAACUGGGACCCAGAAAUGUAGUUACCAUUCCUAGAUCAUGUUUAUAUCAAAUAAAAACAGGAUCUAUGAUUUUGAGAUCAUGCUGUGGUUUCCUAUUCAGUCAUUCAGUCUGUAUUUAAUGCUAUCUGAGGACCAAAAGAUCAUAACCAUCAAACAUUGGUUUUUGGCCUUUGUACAGAUUUUGUUGGAUUCUCUGAAUCUUUUUCGGAUAUGAUGAACUGCAGAGGAUGAAAUCUCCAAAUUCCUCGCAAUGUUACACCAGGAAACAUUAAUAACUUAUCAUACUCCUCACUCACACAGUCUCUCAUGAGUGAUGAACCUCUUCCCAUCUUUGAAGUGGAAUAUUAGAUAUUUUUGAUAGAAAGGGAACCUUAAAUCAUAGAUAACAGCCAGGCUUACUUCUGGUUUUUGUAACAAAGUGUGUAAAACUGCCAAACCUCCAGCUCUAAGGACAUACAUGAUGCAAUGAGCGCUUUCCAAGACUAAAUUUCCAAAGGCAUUGGCUGCAACAUUGACUUUUGGUUUCAAAUGGUGAGUCCCGGUUUCCCAGAUGUUGUCACACAUUACUGCUGAAUGGCCCCCAUCUGGCCUUUGAUGCUUUUUAAAUUUGGUCCCCUGGCUUCAACAACAAAAGAAAACAAGUUAGGGGGUCCCUUGAGUGUCACAUUAUAAGGACCUGGGCUGACGUCAAAGCUCCUGUAGCCAACAAGUGAAGAUUGAGGACAAAGUGAAUUUAGUCACUUGGAAUUGUAAACAUGGAGAAAUACGUUUUGGAGUGAAUUGAUCUUUAAACUAUUGUUUGCUACAAAGCUAUUACAGAACAAAAGGUUUUUAACAAUCACCCUCUGAUCUGAUUGCAGGUUUAACUGCUGCCAAAAAGCAAGGAGAUUUUGGGAUUUUCACUGUGUGCAAAACCAAGAAUGAAACACUCAGGUUCAAGCACUAAGUCUACUUUGACAUUACUUUCCUUGAUAUACAUUCAAAACUGUAACCACAACAUUUUUAUGUGUUGAAGGUUGGACUGCAUUUACGCGCCCUGCCCACUCUCCCCGUCCUUUGACUGUGAAUUUCAGACAUCAGAGGGCGUCGUCAUGUUGAGAGAAUCAAAUAAGAAGUGCAAGCUCGACAUUCAACCAAACCCGCAAACACGGAUGAACUACAGCUGUAUCUUAACACGAAAACAAAGGACUGAAAUGAAGAACAUUACCGUCGAUUACACCACAGCCAAAGCAAGGAGUAAGUAUCACAUGUUUUCAACAACAGUAAAAAGAGUUAACAUAUUUGAUUGGUCAGAAGGGGCUGGACAGCUUUUUUGCCCAAAGGCUCCCAGACGGACAUCAAGAAAUUUAUAAACUCUACCCAAUGAGAACUUUUUCACUGGGAAAAUGAUUGAUAAAAAGGUUUCAACAACAUCUGUUCAAGGAUCUUGAUUGAACAUUUGACCAGGUUUCACUGGGAAAUCUGCCUCUGUUUGUCUCCCCAUCACAAACAUAUUAAUGGUCAUUUUAAAGCAGCAUGUUAUUUAUAUUGUGGCUCAAAUGGUUGUGCGGUGCACUGACAGUGAAAAAAAAAAAAAAGACUGAUACUGGACUCAAUCCAGCACUCAAGCUCGCCACUCACCAGUGUUUUCCAUCAAGUCCUGUCAUGAGCAUAUGCCCAUCAGGUAUCAGUCAGCCAUAGCAGCGUCCAAGCAUUGACCAGCGCCAAACAGUGAUUGUGGAGGAGUUUUAUAUCGGCUCUCUCUGUGGUGUCUCUAGACCAUCUUGUGAACAUCGCACAGUCCACCAUAUUCGUGAUUAUAGUAUGAAAAAAAGAACGUGUUGAAAUAAGGCUUUUGUGUGGACUGGGUUUCAUCUUAACCAUUGAAAUGGCAUUAUUGUUGGCACCUUUUCAACCCUGAAAUAACACUUCAUGAGAAGGAUAGCUUUCUUCUGAUUGGCUCCUGGAAGUGUAAACAUCAUAUCUUGGAUAAUAUUUUGGUUAGUAUGUACAUCAAGGUCUACUAGUUUAAACUGCUAGUUCAGUGCUUUGUAUUUGUAGCAUAGUUGUUUUGUUACAGGUAUUUUAAUAGAUUAAAAAAUUAUGGCUGAAUCUGUCUCUCACCUUCCUUUCAGAAAAAAUACCGAAAUGUCCUUCCAGUGCAGGCAUGCUGCUGCAUAGAACUCCAACUUCACUUUGGCCUGUGUUGAGUCUGUUGCUGUGGAGGAUCCUUGUGACAGACUGCCUGACAACAUGAAGAUCAAGUAGCUCUGAUGAACAAAAGCGCACAUUCAUAAUGUACAUUCAGCUGCUGUGCAGCACAUUGUUUUGUCAAGAGGAAUGCUUUUUUGUUGUUGUUGUUGUUUUUACUCACAAAAAUGUCAGCUGAUCCAUUAUUUUCUGAAGUAAAUGUUGAAAUGAUAAGUGUACAUUUAAUGUGAUAUUUGCAUUGAUACGGGGUUUGGUGAGUCUCACUGACACAGAUCCACUUGAGACUUUCUUUAAUAUAGUCCAGUCCUGAAGUUUUUUGUUCAAGGGCAUAAUCCGUCUGUUUUUAUGUCGAUGCAUGUCAUGAAAGAGUUAAAGAAAUGGCUGUAAACGUGAAAUAAAGAUUUUCAAUUCA
rnacentral:lncRNA from 1 species